rnacentral:snoRNA from 1 species
GAACCCAGGAGAGAGAGAUAUGAUGAAUUGACUCUUUAAAUCUUGGUAACCCAGCUCAAUGAUUUGCACAAGGUUC